UGGGGAAUUUUGGACAAUGGGCGAAAGCCUGAUCCAGCCAUGCCGCGUGAGUGAAGAAGGCCUUCGGGUUGUAAAGCUCUUUUAGUCGGAAAGAAAGAGUUGCAAUGAAUAAUUGUGAUUUAUGACGGUACCGACAGAAAAAGCACCGGCUAACUACGUGCCAGCAGCCGCGGUAAUACGUAGGGUGCGAGCGUUAAUCGGAAUUACUGGGCGUAAAGGGUGCGCAGGCGGUCUUGCAAGUCAGAUGUGAAAGCCCCGGGCUUAACCUGGGAAUUGCGUUUGAAACUACAAGGCUAGAGUGCAGCAGAGGGGAGUGGAAUUCCAUGUGUAGCAGUGAAAUGAGUAGAGAUGUGGAAGAACACCUAUGUCGAAGGCAGCUCCCUGGGUUGACACUGACGCUCAUGCACGAAAGCGUGGGGAGCAAACA
rnacentral:rRNA from 1 species